CUGUAAUCUUAUACUUGAUAGUAUAGUUUGAAGUGGGAGUAAUAUGAUGCCUCUAGCUUUGUUCAUUUUGUUUAGGAUUCCUUUGGCUAUUCAGGCCCUUUUUUGGAUCCAAAUGAACUUUAAAAUUAUUUUUUCUAAUUCUGUGAAGAAUGUCAUUGGCAGAUGAAUAGCAAUAAUAUUGAAUCUGUACAUUGCUUUGGGCAAUGUGGCCAAUUUAACUGUAUUGAUUUUUCUAUUGAUGAGCAUGAAAUUUUUUUUCAUUUGUUUGUGCUGUCUCUGAUUU